GACGAACGCUGGCGGCACGCUUAACACAUGCAAGUCGAACGGAAGAAUUAAGAGCUUGCUCUUAAUGAUUUAGUGGCGGACGGGUGAGUAACACGUGAGCAACCUACCCUUAUAAGGGGGAUAGCUUCUGGAAACGGAUGGUAAUACCGCAUAAUAUACAUUUAAGGCAUCUUGAAUGUAGGAAAGGUUUUAAUCGAAUAAGGAUGGGCUCGCGUCUGAUUAGCUAGUUGGUAAGGUAACGGCUUACCAAGGCGACGAUCAGUAGCCGGACUGAGAGGUUGGACGGCCACAUUGGGACUGAGAUACGGCCCAGACUCCUGCGGGAGGCAGCAGUGGGGAAUAUUGCACAAUGGGGGAAACCCUGAUGCAGCGAUGCCGCGUGGAGGAAGAAGGUUUUCGGAUUGUAAACUCCUUUUGUCAGGGAAGAGCAGAAGACGGUACCUGACGAAUAAGCCACGGCUAACUACGUG
rnacentral:rRNA from 1 species